UUUGUCCUGCCCCCCUGCGGACUUCUGGCUGUCAAGUCGAGCCGCGCUAUGCCGCACGCUUGGUUACUUCGAAAUUAGCGUUUCUUACCCCUCUCGGACGACUGGAUAAAUUAUCGGGCAUUGCGCGCGAGCGCGGAAUAAAAAAUCGGCAAAAAAAAGGACAUGGACGACUAUCGACUGUACAAGUACUACCGAUCGACCGGUUUCGGCUGGAAGUCGCUGGUCUACAACUACCUCCUGACGGACAGGUACUUCAGGACGCUGUUUCACUUCGGGCCUCGCUGCGGUGCCAUAACGGCGAUCACCAGCUUCCUCGUCCUUCUCGUGCUCACCUACACGAUAACCAGCUGGACGAUAUUCCUCCUGAACACGAAGAAAUUCAACGAGCUGCGCCACGAAGCGGAAAAGAAGCUGCCGCGCAAGGAGAGCGUCUUGCAAGUGAGACCCGCUUACAAUUGCAUCAACAAGCACCUCCAGCAGGCCGACGUCUUCCUCGACAAGACAAAGAAAGUCGUACGCAAAGAACAAUUGGAAGUCGAGAUUAUGAAUAGCCGGAUCAACAGUAUAAGCGAGCUCCUGAAUCCUGGGGAUCAGUCGCCGUGGCAACGCUCGCAGUCGCCGAAGGGAUACUUUCGGGACAUCAAUACUCCAUUGAAGAAAUGAACGCGGUCACUGCUUUUACCGAGAGCGACGAAUCCUUUACUUCGCCGUGAAUUUUGCAAACGUAUCAAACGAAACUGUCGAGCUGAAACAUUCACGGUGAGGGGUUCGCUCGUUCCAGAGCGUGUAGAGGAGAGGCCUGUGCGCGCGAGUGUUGGAGUUUGCCACUCGGUUGUCGGGAAAGGACUUUUUCUACUCGAUUUCUCACUUGUCGACCUUGUUGGCUUUUUCAUAUUGUUCUUCUCGCCAGCCGUUGCUUCGUUGGGCUUUUUUUUAUUCGCGAGCUAGGUUUCGUUUGGCAAUUAUAAUACAUUCGAGAACUGUUGCCUCUUAAUUAUUUUGGAAAGAAUUAGCAUAAACGCCGUAAAAAAAUCAUUCCGCAUCGUUUGCUCUUAA